rnacentral:rRNA from 1 species
AAGAUUAAGCCAUGCAUGUCUAAGUAUAAGCAAUUAUACAGCGAAACUGCGAAUGGCUCAUUAUAUAAGUUAUCGUUUAUUUGAUAGUACCUUACUACUUGGAUAACCGUGGUAAUUCUAGAGCUAAUACAUGCUAAAAAUCCCGACUUCGGAAGGGAUGUAUUUAUUAGAUUAAAAACCAAUGCCCUCCGGGGCUCACUGGUGAUUCAUGAUAACUCCUCGAAUCGCAUGGCCUUGUGCCGGCGAUGGUUCAUUCAAAUUUCUUCCCUAUCAACUUUCGAUGUUUGGGUAUUGGCCAAACAUGGUUGCAACGGGUAACGGAGGGUUAGGGCUCGACCCCGGAGAAGGAGCCUGAGAAACGGCUACUACAUCCAAGGAAGGCAGCAGGCGCGCAAAUUACCCAAUCCCGACACGGGGAGGUAGUGACAAUAAAUACUGAUACAGGGCUCUUUUGGGUCUUGUAAUUGGAAUGAGUACAAUUUAAAUCCCUUAACGAGGAACAAUUGGAGGGCAAGUCUGGUGCCAGCAGCCGCGGUAAUUCCAGCUCCAAUAGCGUAUAUUAAAGUUGUUGUGGUUAAAAAGCUCGUAGUUGAACCUUGGGCCUGGCUGGCCGGUCCGCCUCACCGCGUGUACUGGUCCGGCCGGGCCUUUCCCUCUGUGGAACCCCAUGCCCUUCACUGGGCGUGGCGGGGAAACAGGACUUUUACUGUGAAAAAAUUAGAGUGCUCCAGGCAGGCCUAUGCUCGAAUACAUUAGCAUGGAAUAAUAGAAUAGGACGUGUGGUUCUAUUUUGUUGGUUUCUAGGACCGCCGUAAUGAUUAAUAGGGACAGUCGGGGGCAUCAGUAUUCAAUUGUCAGAGGUGAAAUUCUUGGAUUUAUUGAAGACUAACUACUGCGAAAGCAUUUGCCAAGGAUGUUUUCAUUAAUCAGGAACGAAAGUUAGGGGAUCGAAGACGAUCAGAUACCGUCGUAGUCUUAACCAUAAACUAUGCCGACUAGGGAUCGGACGGUGUUAUUUUUUGACCCGUUCGGCACCUUACGAGAAAUCAAAGUGCUUGGGCUCCAGGGGGAGUAUGGUCGCAAGGCUGA